rnacentral:rRNA from 1 species
UACGAAGGGAGCUAGCGUUGUUCGGAAUCACUGGGCGUAAAGCGCACGUAGGCGGAUGUGUCAGUCAGGGGUGAAAUCCCGGAGCUCAACUUCGGAACUGCCUUUGAUACAGCACGUCUUGAGUCCGGUAGAGGUGGGUGGAAUUCCUAGUGUAGAGGUGAAAUUCGUAGAUAUUAGGAAGAACACCGGUGGCGAAGGCGGCCCACUGGAUCGGUACUGACGCUGAGGUGCGAAAGCGUGGGGAGCAAACAGG